GCAUUCCGCCUGGGGAUUACGCUCGCAAGCAUUCAUACCUCAAAGGAAUUGACGGGGGCCCGCACAAGCGGUGGAGCAUGUGGUCUAAUUCGAAGCAACGCGCAGAACCUUACCAUCCCUUGACAUGGCAUGUUACCUCGAGAGAUCGGGGAUCCUCUUCGGAGGCGUGCACACAGGUGCUGCAUGGCUGUCGUCAGCUCGUGUCGUGAGAUGUUGGGUUAAGUCCCGCAACGAGCGCAACCCACGUCCUUAGUUGCCAUCAUUCAGUUGGGCACUCUAGGGAGACUGCCGGUGAUAAGCCGCGAGGAAGGUGUGGAUGACGUCAAGUCCUCAUGGCCCUUACGGGAUGGGCUACACACGUGCUACAAUGGCGGUGACAGUGGGACGCGAAACCGCGAGGUUGAGCAAAUCCCCAAAAGCCGUCUCAGUUCGGAUUGCACUCUGCAACUCGGGUGCAUGAAGGCGGAAUCGCUAGUAAUCGUGGAUCAGCACGCCACGGUGAUACGUUCCCGGG
rnacentral:rRNA from 1 species